rfam:Gossypium arboreum cultivar AKA8401 contig_67267_1, whole genome shotgun sequence.
AACCCAUAGUGAGGGCACAUUCUCAAAAGGACCUUGUAUCUCUCCCAUGCAUCAUAGAGUGUUUCUAAAUCCAUAUACACAAACAAAGAGAUAUCAUUACGUAAUCU